rnacentral:lncRNA from 1 species
AAAUUAUGAACAUUUUUUGGAAGAAAAUUAACCUAUAAAUUAAGGUAUAAAUCAGUAUUUUUUUUGAACAGAAGUUUGGCCAUAAUAAUUGAAAUUCAAACAUUUGAAAUGGUGUUACUUGCUGCUGGGAAUUUAUUCCACAUCUCAAAUUUACACUGAAGUAUGUUAUACAUUGAGUAUAAAUAAUAGUCGAGCAUCUGAAAUAUACCUCAACAAAAGAUCAUAAUGGUUGUAGCUUAUUCAUCAUAUGAAUAUAAUUUAGACACUGGAACAUGGUCUGAUAAGGGUGUUUUGUGUGGAUAUUUAAAAUUAUGCCAGUUUUUGAACAAACAUCAACUAAUAGUGUGUUUACAGAGGUUUGACCAUAUGCCUCGUUCUAAUUGGAAAUGUCAAUCAUUACUGUUCCUGAGGAAUGUAAUUAUUCUGACAUGAUUAUAGAGUUAAGUAAUGCUGACUGAUCAGUGUUAUAAUGAAUAUUUUAGCAUUCUUAAAAAUUUUGUACAUGUGUACAUUAAGUAGUAAAAUACUGUCUUAUUAUUUGUAUAUUGCUACUUGACAAUCUGAAAUGAACAUACUAAUUGUUAGAAAGGUGUCUGGAAGAAUGGAUGGCAAAAUUUUAACAUUACUGUAUAGAGAGAUGGGAAUGGAGGACUGCUUCUACUUCCUGCAUUUUGAAUUUUAAAGGUAUUUCAAAAGGAACAUCUAAACAGCAAAAAGGGGAUUUUAAAGAUACACCCAAUUUAUGCCUGCCUUUCAUCCUUGCCUAUCAAUAUCUGGCGAGUAUUGGGCUGUUGUAUCCAAUUUUGUAUUCCCAGUGGCCAUUAUGAAUUGUUUGUGAGUGAUCAUGAAGAGCAUGUGGUUUAGAGACUCUAGUGAAGCAGAGAGUUUUACACACUGAAAAAGCAUUGUGGGACUCCAGAAAUGAACAUGGGAGAAGAUAGGAUUUCAGGUAGGUGCUAAACAAUUAUAUUUGGGUUUACAAACGCAUGAAUGAUUAAAAUAAAUCAUUGAAACUUUCUAUAAAGGGUAAAUUUUCAUAAAUUUACAUAUUUGUGGUUACUGAUUAGAUCAUGUUGUUUGAGGAAGAGUAUUGGAUUAGGUUGAAAGUUAAUUAAUGGUAGUAAUUAGAGAAUGGAUUUUUCCUAGUUUUUACAGUAGUUGAGUCAGAAUUUCACGUAGGUCUUUAUGGUUUCUUAUAUGAUUCAGAACUGGCAUGAAAAACAUUUCCGUACAUUUGUGUUAUUUCUGUGUAGUAAUAUCAGCUGUUUAUCUCCAUUCGCUGUUCGUGAUUAUUCUAAAAUCAUCCUAAUUUGUGUGUCCUGGUGUCUUAUUUGUAUCUAAUUGGCUAUAUUGUAUAAUUACUUCUCAGAUGAACACAAUGAAAGGAAGAGAUUUACAGAUAAUCUGAGGACAGCUGACAUUCCUAUGGUCUUUCUUAAUUCAUAAGUCUUAACUGGGAACUACAGGUAAGAAGGUUCUGGAUCAAGAAGUUCUGUUUUAGAACAAGGCUUUGGCUAGACUCAGGAAUAUCCAGCCAUGCCUGAGAAUUAGUGAGUAAAUUUAUUCUAUAAAAAAAGAUAACUUUACCAAAGUAAAGGUGGGGAGUAUAUGUAGAAUGUAAGAGAUUAUUUAUGUCUUCUUUCAAUUGCUUUUAUUUCUAACCAAACAUUAUGAUCUAAUUAAUGUUAUAAAGAAAAUUAUUCAUUAAUUGGAAAUUUUGAAAUAAAGGAUUUUUUGCAAGUAUUUUUAUAGUGUGAUAAAGGCAGAAGUUCAUGGAAACUGGUAAAAAACAAACAAACAAACAAGGGGAACCCUCUUGCACUGUUGGUGGGAUUACAAACUGGUGCAGCCACUGUGGAAGACAGUAUGAAAGUUCCUCAAAAAGUUAAAAACGUGAUUUAGCAAUUGUAAUCAUGAGGUAUUUACCCAAAGAAUACAAAAAUAUUAAAUCAGAAGGAUCUGUACACCCCAUCCUUUAUUGCAGCAUUAUCUACAAAUAGCCAAAUUAUGGAAACACCCCAAGUAUCCAUUCACUGAUGAACAGAUAAGGAACUCCGCCAUAAAAAAUGAGAUCUUCCCACUUGCAGCGAACAAGGCCGAUGGAGCUAGAGAGUAUAAUGCUAAGCAAAAUAAGUCAGAGAAAAACAAAUGAUAUAUGAUUUCACUCAUAUGUGGGAUUUAAGAAACAAAACAAAAUAGAGGCAAAGCAAGAAAUAGACUCUUAGCUAUAGAGAACAAAUUUAUGAUUACCAGAGGCCAGGUGGUUGAGGGAGAUGGGUGAAAUAGGUGAUGGGGAUUAACAAGUACACAUGUAAUGAGAAACAGGUGAUGUAUGUAAGUGUAGCAUCACUAAAUGGCACACCUAAAACUAAUAUUUCACUAACUGGAAUUUUAAUAAAAAGUUAAAGUAUUUGGUAAAGUAAUAGCUGAAGUUGGAAUGUUGAAUCAGCUAUAGGGGAUUCAUUAAUGAGGAAUUCUUUCUAAGCAUUAAAAGAAAUUUGUAACAAAGUUCAAAAUUAGCCUCCACUUAUUUGCUGCUUUUUCUAUUUUAUAAGAAGUAUGUGUGUCUUAUCUUCCAAUGUUUCUUCUUUUUUUCCUGUCAGGAGAUGAUAAUUCUAAGAAAACACACUUUUGCCAUCUUUGUUUGUAAUUGCAAGAAUCAGUACCAUAAGACCUCUGUUGGCAAUAUUACUCAUUUGAGUAUUCGAGUAUUCGUCACCUCCCAUCUCUGGCUUUGGGAAUACUGCUUGGCAAAAUGAUUGUAAGGACAGAUAAGUGUUUAUUUUAUUCAGGGAGGGGCACUUGAUUAGACAGGAGUUAAUAUUCUGCUUUGUUUAAGAUUAAUUAAUUUUUGGUGGCAGCUAGUGGGUAAUGAGAUCCGUUUGGGGUACAUGUUGCUGAGUAAUAAAGAAUCCUGACACACAGUGGCAUAAAAUAUCUAUUGUGCCAUUUCAUGAAUUCUGUGGGUGAAGAUUUCUGACAAUGCCAGAAUAUGGGAUCAGCUGGGAAGAUACGGUGUUUAAUAUUGAUUCAAACGCUUCGAGGCUGGAGUCAUCUGGACACUUCUUCACACGUAUGUCUGGCACUUGUUUUGGGAAGACUCGGAAGGCUGGGCUUAGCUAAAUUAGAGCACCUUCACACAAUCAGUUUAACAGAGGAAGCAUCAUCAAAAUGAAUGUUCGGAGAGAACCUUGUGAAAGUGGCAUGUGGUCUUUAUGAUCCAACUUCAGAAGUCAUGUAGUAUCACUUCUGCCACAUUUUGUUGACUAACAUUUUUAUAUGACCAGCCCAAAUUCUAGUAGAUAUUCCAUCUCAUGAUGGGCGUGUGCCAAGGUUACUGGUCACCUAGAGUUACAUGUAGGACCAGAUGAAAGAAGAUAUUGUAAUUGAGAACUAUAGCUGUAUAAUUUUAGUAGUUGAUUUUUUUAAAUAAUUUUGGGAUCCAUUAACAACAGUUCUCUCAAAUCAUAUAUCUGUCUUUAUGAUCUUAAUAAAUUGAUUUUCAGAAUUUCACUUUUCAUGUACUCUGGAUUUCUUGCAGAUAUGUUUCAACAAAUAUCUUACUCUUUGCCUGACAUAGUAUUAAAUUUUAUUGAAUUGUAACUUUGGUAAUAAAUUAGGCAAAAGACAAGAAGUUCGAGAAAGAAAACAAAGUACAUGAUUUUGGGCAUUAAGUGAGUUUGAGGAGGGCAAAAGAGAGAAGAGCCCAGGUACACUAAGCUGACGUUGAGAUGUAUAACCUUAGAAGUACGAAAGUAAUGAACUAUAAAAAGAGUGAGAGGGAGCAGUUGUUAAUGAAACCAUUAAUAUUAUAGCAAAUAGUGAAUCCCAUCUCCUGAUGGACCAAGAGUUGUGUAAUUCUCUUAUUUCCUUUAUUUCCCACUAGAAAGUUAAUUCAUGUGAUACACGGCCAAGAGUAAAUGCUGACAAAUUCUUUAAACAUUCUUUUUCAGAGAGCCUUAUUGGCUACCUGCAAUAAUCCUCAGAAUGACCUAUUCUGUUAAUCCCAGAAUAACCUUAAAAGAUAAAGGCUUUUAUGAUAAAAUGUUUUUUUUUUUUCCUUAGGAUAAAACAUUGCUAAAUAGACAACUAAACUAAAUAGACAACUUCAACUUGGGUGAAGUACCUACUUAAGAAUUUUGAUAACCAGCUGGAAUAAUGGGUUAAGAUCUAAAUCUUAUUAAAUUCCAUUGUAGCCUCUGUCUUUUAUACAAUUACCUUUUUUUUUCUUACCAAAGGGACUAAGGUCCUUUUGUUAUUUUCAUUGGAUUUUUUUUUUGCACUGUUGUCAUGUUUAUUGUAGAGAAAAGCAUAUAGAUUAAAUAGUUUUUGUAUGAAUGAGCAAUCUAGAGAUAUAGGCAUCCAAAUACAUAACAGAGACACAGACAGCAUGAGAAUGUUGGGAUCAAUCCAUUUACGAAGGUGUAAGAAGAAGGAAUACCAAGAUACCAACAUCUGGCUUUUUAAAAACUGAGGUAUAGUUGACCUCAUUAGCUUCAGGUCUAUAAAUAGUGAAUAGUGAAUAGUGAUAGUGACUUGAUAAUUCUAUGCAUUAAGCAGUGCUCACCACAAUAAAUGUAGUUGCCAUCUCUAGCCUUCUUACUAGAAAAUUUCAAAAGUUAUUCUGAUGCAUCUGUUAUUUCUUCAUAAUAAAAUGGCUGUUGCAUUUCAUUGUAUAUAAUUUUAUUAGAUAUUACUGAUAAUUGCAUAAAGUAUGCUUCCUAACUUUACGCAUUUCCUAAUGUGUCCUCUCAGGUGAUGUCCAAAUAGGAAACUGAUGUUACUGCUUCUGACACCAUCUUCAAAUCCAAAAACGGUCUUUAUAACGUAUGGAGACUCCUCCUUUCAUGUGUUGGAGUAGACACUCCUCCAGAAAAACUGGACUGAGAAAGCCCUUGUUUCAAAGUUACCUAAAGAUUAUCAUUGGAGGGAAUUGUAACCAGGCAUGUUGACUGUUUUCAUUAUUGACAUUGGACUAAAUGUCGGGAGCUUGAAUGAUGGAGAUGCUAUUACACAGAGAAGCUCAGGAUGAUAUGAUUGCAAGGCUUCAUUUCAAUGUUCCCAUAAGUAUUAAGUGCACAUAUUUAUAAUUUUCACUUUUAACAGGGUAAAUUUAAAAUAGAUGCAGAAAAAUAAAUUAUCUUUUUUCCAGAUUUGAAAGGACACAGAAAGUUGUAAAGGGUAGUAUUUUUACUUUUUAAAUGCUUUUUCCUCCCUCCUAAUUCUACUCCCCAAUAUUAUCUGCUGUUAAGGAGUUUUGUGCAUAUCCUUUUGGGGCGUAUCGAUAAACAAAUUGAUAAUGCCAGUAGUCAUUUGGGCCCAUACAUUAGCUACAAAUUUUCUCUUCAGUGAACAUGCUUAUAUGUAAUCUACUUUUUAACUUCUCCAGCUAAGUUGUUGAAAUAGUCCUACUACUUCCACUUCAUUGGAAUUAAGUAUAUCCAAAAUUUAUGUUUUGACUUAAAAGUAGAGAUUUCCCCAGAAUUGUGUAAAUUAUCCUCAUCAAUAUUGUCUCCCAGUGUUUGUUUAUGAGACUUCUUUUUUCUAAAACAGUACAAACAUUGGAUGUCAAUGUUUUAAUCUUUGAUAGUGUGAUACUACAAAGAAAGUAUUUUUCUUCAGUUAUUGUUCACUUCAGUCAUCUUCAUAUGUCCUUAAACUGUACUAGUCAUUUGUUAUUCUGUGUUUUGUGUUACUUUGUUUUUUUUUGUUUUUUGUUUUUUUUCAUUUCCCUUGGAAUACUAGUGUCUUUGUUACUGGCUUUUAAAAGAUCUUUUAUGACUAACGAUUUUAACCAUUUACCAUGCUUUGCAAAUGAAAUACCAUGUUUUUUCACCAUUUUACUGUGAUAUUUUACUUUUUGGUGUACAGAAGUUGUAUAUUGAAAUAUAACAAUAUUGUGUUUCAUGCCUUUUGAGUUUUGUGUUUUUAUUUAAAACAUGAAUGCAUUACCAUCAUUUUUUGUAUUUUCUUUUGUUGUUAAUUAUUUUGUGAUUUUUCCCCAUCAAUCAUUACUGUGGGUUUAAAGCAUUACUUACUCAAAUAAUUAACUUAAGCAAUUACCAAUUAUUUUAAUUUCUACCAUAGUAAUUUAGAAAUUCCCAAAUAAUAUCAGCUGCAUUUCUAUUUGCUUGCCUUACCUUCUAUUGAUACUUUAAAAUUACUGAUGAUUUUUAGUCUAUUCCAUUGAGUUCCAUGUCAUUUCUCUUCUUUUUUUCAGAAUAUUCCCUGUCUAGUCGCAUUUUUUUCUCUCAGUUGAUGCUUAAAAUUAUUUUGCAAGUUGGAAAAAAAUGCAGUUUUAAUUUCAUUUGCACCAAAUUUAAUAGAUUAAUUAGGAGAGAAUAGAUCUCUUUAAAAUUGAGUCUUCCUCUCCAACUGCAAGGUAUGUCUUUCUAUUUUUAAUCAACUUAUUAUGUUGGGAAAAUGCUAGAUUAUAUUUUUUCAUUAAUUCCCAGUCAUUUCAUAGUUUUGUUAAUGUGAUGGGGAUUGUGAACCUACUUUAUUUUCUUAUUAAUAUAAAAGCCUUUUUUUAAUUUACUUUUCUAAUGGUAUUUAAUUGAAAUACCAUAAUUCUGGUUUUCUUUCUUAGUUCGUGGUUCUUAAUAGAAUAUAUUGAAGCAGAAAAGGGCCCUUGGUUACUUGAUCAUGAAUAUUAAUCCUAUUAGUUUAAGGUUUGUUUACUUAGGGGUCAUUUUAGGAAACUUCCUUUCUUUUUUUGAGCAUUUUUCACAAAACUUGUUGACAAGUUUAAUAAAAUGUUUUGUUGUGUGUUAUAGGUGAUCAUGCUUGCAAUCAAUUCUUGAUUAGGCUAAAAAUUAAACAUUCUUGCAUCUGCUCUCAAUGAACUACAUUUUAUGUUAUGUAUGUGCAUGUAUGUGUGUGUGUAUAUUCCAUAUAUAUUUUCCUAUUAUAAUUAAAAUUUUAUUUGCAGUUUCUGAAAAUAUAAUCCUAAAUAAACAGCUUAUUUUGUUCUGUUUUCGUCAGGGUUCUGUAUUUGGUUUAUCUGCUCUACCAAAAUGUUUGGAGUAUUACUUGUAUAGGCUGAAAACAAGGAGUAUUAGCAUUAAUUAUUUAGGUUUCAUUUUGAAAUAACUUUUGGCUUGCAAAAAUGCUCUCUAUCCUCCUCUUACAUUAAUAUAUUUCAUUUACAUGAUAUAGUUAUCUACAAAAGGAAUUUGCUGCACUGCUGUUAAGUGAUCCUUUUAUAAUCCAUGAUUGAAAAUAGAAUCCUACAUUGCAUGUAGUUGUUAAAGUCACUUUAAUGUCCUUCUGCUUGGGACAGUUGCCCAGUUUUCUUCGGUUUUCAUAAUUUUGAUCCUUUUGAAGAGUUGACAAAAUAUCCAACUAUUAAUGUUAAUCAGUAUGGGCUUGUGUGAUUUUCAUCAUUGGACUGGUGGUUAUGCAUGUUUGAUGAGGUUGCUAUAGAAGUGGUACUCCCUUCUCAGUACAUCACUAGGGAUCACGUACUAUUGAUACGUCUUGUGAUUACUGCUAUUACUUUUAUUACAUACUGUUACAUAAUUAGUAUUAGUAGGAAAAGGUUCUGCAAAUAUUGUAACACUCUUAUCUGCUAAUUUUAGAACUUAUUGAUGUUUGUUGCCUGCAAAAAUUAAUACACUAUGGCGUUUGUCAAAUUGAUUCUUAAAAAUUUUCUCAGUACUACAUUUUAUUAAUUGGAAUUUUGUACUAUAAGAGUUAUUCCUUCCCCAUUUAAUAUUUAAUUAUUCAUUUCAGUGUGGACUCGUGGUAUUUUGUUUAUUCCAUGGAUUAAAUUCAUUACUUUUCUUUAAUCUCGUUGUCCAUCAUUUGGCCAUUCAGGUCUCUUUUAAGGUGGCUUCUGUGUCUUUUUAACAUGUCCAUAUUUCCUUUCCUGAGUACUUACUUUCUGACCACCUAAUAGUACCUGGGUUUAUUUUGUUCUUAUCUUGUGGAACCAUCAGUUUCUCUAAGGAUACUUGGUUCCUUAUAGGGAAUGGUACUUAGGAAGUAAGCUAUGUAUCAGAACUUCAUUUAUUUUUAUGGUUCAGUAAUAUUCCAAAGUGUGUAUAUGUAACAUUUGUUGUUGAACACUUGGAUGUUUCUGCUUUUUGACUUUGAAUAAUAAGGUUUGUGACUUCCACAUUGUCAAUAAUACUGCUAUGAAUAUUGACAUGAAAAUGUCUUGAGUCCCUGUUUUCAUUUUCUUUGGGUAUAUAUCUUGGAGUGAAAUAGCUAGGAAUCAUAUGGUAUUUUUAUGUUUAACUCUUUUAGGUAUGGUCUGUUUUUAUUAUGAAAAGUUUCAUAUUCAUAAUGAAAUCAUAAUGAGUUUUCACAUGCUGAGCAACUAGAAUAAUUAAAAAUAUUUUGCCAUAUAUUGAAAACUGCAAAUCAUAUGAUAUUUCAAUCUUGAAUUUUUUGUAUGCAUAUACAUCAUAAUUUUAAAUAACCACAAUAUCAUAUCUAUUAUUAAGUAGAGUCCCUUAUUGCCUUUUAAAAUAAAUCUUCAUGAAAACUUGUCAUAUUGUCCAAACAUCUAAUAAUUAGAACAAGUCUGGAUCCAAGCAGGCACCAUGCAUUUUUAUCUAGGCCAUUUUUAUCUUAUUUUUGGUUAUUAGUAUUAAUUUAUUCUUAAUACUAAAUCUUUUAAUCCCUUAAUAUAGGACAUUUUCCCAUGCUUUUUUGUUUCAUAUGUGUUAAAUAUUUUUUUUUAAUAUUUAAUCUUUUGCAAUUCAUUUCAUUUUGGAAGAACUUUAUAUUUUUCUGUUACAUUCAUAGUGAUUUUACCUACUAUUUCUAGUGUGUUACAUGUAUUUUGGUGAGCUAAUGUGGUCCAGGUUAUUUCUGCUUUGAGGUUUUCUUUGUGUCUGUCUCUUUCAUACAUUCUCUGUCACAUACCUACCUAUCUAUAACUAUCUAGAAACAUAUUUAUAGAAUGUAUAAAUACCUUUAUAAAUUAUGCAUAAAUACUUGUACAUUUAUGUAGACCAUAACAAAAAUAUAGCUCAUAUUUCUAAAUGUAUUAGAGGUGCUUGGAAAGAGGCAUUGUCUCCAAUGUACAGAGCACUAUAUAAGUGAUUGUGAAAGGUUCACUAUUGUUACAGAUCUGUAUUUCUGUCUCUUUUAGGAACCACUAAAUGACUUGCUGUUGAUGUCUUGAUCUGUUUUCUUUUUUUGUUUCAUUACAUAUUGAAUAUUUGACCAUUCUAUCAAUUUUGCAAGAGUAUUUCAUACACUGUGUCCCAAAUAGAAUAUGAAUAUGUACUUACCAUGUCCCAUCCUAGAAAAAAAUGACUAAGGCCUAGUUUUCUUUUAUAAUUUAUUCUCAUGUAUUUUGUUGAAUCUCAAGAUUUGUGGACUCCAAUACUUUUAAAAGAUAAUCAUCAUGCUACCUGCUAAAAAAUGUAAAAUGGAGGGGCACCUGAGUGGCUCAGUCUGUUGAGCAUCUGACUUCAGCUCAGGUCAUGAUAUCUUGGUUCGUGAGUUCGAAUCCCACAUCAGGCUCUCUGCUGUUAGCCUGGAGCCUAUUUUGGAUCCUUUGUCUAUUUCUCUCUCUCUCUGCACUUCCUCUGCUCACACUGUCUCUUCCAAAAAUAAACAAACAUUAAUUUUUUUUUAAAUAUAUGAAAUGUAAUAAAUCCUUUAUGGUGUAUCACAGCUGGAUACCUAAAGUACUCUGAAUUAUUUAUAGAUUAAAAAUCAUUCAAACAGGUUUUGAAAAUAGUUAUGCUCAAAUCAGCACUUGAAUAGUUAUGCAUUCCAUUCCACUUGGUUUGUUAAUCUGUAGUUCUCUGAAUUUGCAAUGACUCUUUUUUUUUAUUUUAGAUGUUUAUUUUUGAGAGAGAGAGAGAGAGAGAGAGAGAGAGAGAGAGAACGCACAUGCACAGGAGCAGGAGAGGGAUAGGGAGAGAGGCAGACACAGAAUCCAAAGCAGCUCCAGGCUCUGAGCCCGAAGUGGGGUUCGAACACAUGAAUCAUGAGAUCUUGACCUGAGCUGAAGUCUGACGCUUAACUGACUGAACCAUGCAGGCGCCCCAGCUCUUUUUUUCUUUUUAAAGUUUAUUUAUGUAUUUUCAGAGAGAGAGAGGGCACAUGUGCAUUUACCUGCAUGAGUGGGAAAGGGGAAGAAGGGGCAAGAGUGUGAGAAUCCCAAGCAGGCUCCACACAGUCAGUGCAGAGCCCAGUGUGGGGCUUGAACUCAUGAACUGUGAGAUCAUAAACUGACCUGAAACUAAGAGCCAGACACAUAACUGACUGAGCCACCUAGGGCCCCUCAUCUCUGUGUCUCUCUUUUUUUUAACUUUCAUAAUUUCUAUUUAUGUUUGGAAGAAAUCAGAUUAUAUGCCUUUUAAAAUUAUCACACGUCUAAUUCUACAAGUAGUAUAUGGCAUCCCUGUGGUAGGGUUUAAUAUUUUCCCCCAAAUCCUGUUAGAUUUAAAUGUCAUAUCAGUUUGGUUUUAUUAAUUCUUUAGUCACUUAUUAUAGGAAUCUUUUUGAUUGUAAUACAGUAUUUAGUAAUUCAUUAUAAGAACACUAUGAAUUUUAAAUAUUUUAAUUAUGUUAUAGUUAACAUAGAUUGUUAUAUUAGUUUCACGUGGACAGUAUUGGGAUUCAACAAUUCCAAACAUCAGAGUUUAUCACAAGAAGUGCACUCAAUUCCCAUCAUCCAUUUCCUUUAUGAUAACCAUCAGUUCUCUACAGUUAAAAGAGUCUUGGGUUGUGCCUCUCACCUUUUCCCUUUGCUUGUUUGUUUCUUAAAUUCCACUUAUGAGCGAAAAGAAUAUGGUAUUUGUCUUUCUCUUACUUCCUUUGCUUACCAUAAUACUCUAUAGCUCCAACCACAUUGUUGCAGAUGGCAAGAUUUCAUUCUUUUUGAUGGCUGAGUAAUUCAUUUUAUAUAUAUGUAUAUAAUAUGUAUGUAAAGAUGUGUGUAUGCAUAUGUAUAUAUACAUAAAUAUACACGCAUACAUACAUAUGCAUACACACCACAUCUUUAUCCGUUCAUCAGUAAAUGGAUACCUGACCUGCUUCCAUAUGUUGCCCAUUGUAAAUAAUAGUGAAAAAAACAUAGGGGCACAUGUGUCUCUUUGAUUUACUGUUUUUGUAUUCUUUGGCUAAAUACCAGUAAUAUGAUUUUUAGAUUGUAGGGUAGUUAUUUUUAACUUUUUCAUGAACCUCCAUUGGAUAUACCGGUUUGCAUUCCAACCAACAGUGCAAGAGAGUCCCUUUUUCUCCACAUUCUUCCAAAUACUUGCUGUUUCUUAUGUUGUUCGUUUUAGUCAUUCUGACAGGUGUGUGCUGAUAUUUCACUGUAGUUUUUUUUUUUAAUGUUUAUUUUUGAGAGAGAGAAUGUGUGAGUGUAAGAGGGAAAGAGAAUCCCAAGAAGAUUUCUCUGACAGCAUCGAGCCCAAAUCCAUGGGCUAGAGUCCAUGAACUGGGAGAUCACGACUGGAGCUGAAAUCAAAAGCCAGAUACUUAACCCAACUGAGCCACCGAGGUGCCCCUCUCAUUGUAGUUUUGAUUUACAUUUUCCUGAUGAUGAGUGAAGAACAUCUUUUCAUGUGUCUGUUGGCCAUCUGUGUGUCUUUUUUUUUUUUUUAAUGUUCAUUUUAGAGAACAGAAGCAAGUGGGGAAAAGGACAGGGUGAGAAGGACAGAGGAUCUGAGGCAGGCUCUUUGCUGACUGCAGAGAGCCUGAUGCAGGGAUUGAACUCAAGAACUGUAGGAUCUUGACCAGAGCUGAAGUUGGACACUUAACCAACUGAGGCACCUGGGUGCCUCACUGUGUGUCUCUUUUGGGGAAAUGUAUGUUCAUGAAUUCUGUAAUUAUUUAAUUGGAUUAUUUUUUGUGUGUGUGUAUGUGAAGUUGUAUAACUUCUUUAUACUUUUGGAUACUAACCCUUUUUCGGGUGUGUCAUUUGCAGAUAUCUUCUCCCAUUCAGUAAGUUGUCUUUUAGUUUAAUUGAUGGUUUCCUUCACUAUGCAGAAGGUUUAAAAUAUAUCCCAAUAGUUUAUUUUUGCUUUUGUUUCCAUUGCCUCAGGAGACUUGUCUAGAAAAAAAAGUUGUUUCGGCCAAUGCCCAAGAAGUGACUGCCUGUGUUCUCUUCUAGGAUUUUUAUGGUUUGAGGUUUCAUAUGUAGGUAUUUAAUUCAUUUUUAGUUUAUUUUUUGUGUGUGUAGUAUAAGAAAGUGGUUCAUUGUUUUGCAUGUUGCUGUCCAACACCAUUUAUUGAGAAACUUGUCUUUUUCUAUUGGAUAUUCUUUCCUGCUUUGUUGAUUAACUGACCAUAUAGUUGUGGGUUUGUUUUCUAUUCUGUUCUACUUUUCUGUGUGUCUAUUUUUGUGCUAGUAGCAUACUGUUUUGAUUACUACAGAUUUUUAAUACACCUUGAAGGCCAGAAUUGUGAUGACUCCAGGUUUGCUUUUCUUUUUCAGAAUUGCUUUGGUUUAUUCUGGGUCUUUUAUUUUCAUAAAAAUUUUAGUAUUUGUUCUAGUUCGGUGAAGAAUGUUAAUGGUAUUUUGAUAGGGAUUGCAUUAAAUGUGCAUAUUGAUUUGGGUAGUAUACACAUUUUAUCAAUAUUCAUUCUUCCAAUCUAUGACCAUGGAAUGUUUUUUCCAUUUCUUUAUGUCAUCUUCGGUUUCUUCCAUCAGCAUUUUACACUUUUCACAGUAUAGGUGUUUUUACCUCUUUGGUUAAGUUUAUUCCUAGGUAUCUUAUUGUUUUUGGUAAAAUUGUAAAUGGGAUUGAUUCCUUAAUUUCUCUUUGUUGUUUAAUUAUUGACAUACACAAAGACAACAGAUUUCCAUACAUAGCUUUCAUAUCCUACAGCUUGACUGAAUUCAUUUAUCAGUUCUAGCAGUAUUUUGGUGGAGCCUUUUGGGUCUUCUGUAUAGAGUAUCAUGUCGUUUGCAAAUAGUGAAAGGUUUACUUCUUCCUUGCUAUUUUGGGUUCCUUUAUUUUUGUUGUCUGAUUGUUGAGGAUAGGACCUCCCUUAUGUUAAGUAACAGUGGUGAGAGUGAGCAUCCUGUCUUGUUCCUUACUGUAAACUAUGGGUGUUUUCAUAGAUGGCCUUUAUUACGUCGAGGUAUGUUCCUUCCAUGCCUACUUUGUUGAGGUUUUUUUUUUUUUUUUAACAUGAAUGGAUGUUGAACUUUGUCAAAUAAUUUUUCUAUAUCUAUUGAAAUGAUGAUGUGGUUCUCAUCCUUUCUUUUAUUAAUGUGGUGCAUCACGUUGAUUGAUUUGUGAAUGUCGAGCCACCUUGCAACCCAGAAAUUACUCUCGCUUGAUUGUGAUGAAAUGAUUUUUUUCAUGUAUUGUCGGAUUCAUUUGCUAGUGUUUUACUGAGAAUUUUUGCAUCCAUGUUAAUCAGGGAUAUUGUCCCAUAGUUCUCCUUUUUAGUGGAGUCUUGGUUUUGGUAUCAGGGUAAUGCUGGCCUCUUAAAAUGAAUUUGGAAGUUUUCCUUUCUUUUCUGUUUUUUAGAAUACACUGAGAAGAAUAGGUUAAUACUUUGGUUUAAAGUCCAUUUUGUCCACUAUAGUAAGUACUGCUACUCUUUUGAUAUCCACUUACAUACGUUUUCUCCAUCCCCUCACUUUAAUUUGCGGGUGACUUUCUGAAAUGUGUCACUUAAUGGCAUAUAGAUGGGUCUUGUUUUUUUAAUUUUUUAUUUUUAUUUACUUAAUUUUUAUUUUUUUUACAAUUUUUAUUUUCAUUUUAUUUUUAAUUAAUUACUUAAUUUGUAUCCAAGUUAGUUAGCAUAUAGUGCAACAAUGAUUUCAGGAGUAGAUUCCUUAAUGCUCCUUACCCAUUUAACCUAUUCCCCUCCCACAAUCCCUCCAACAACCCUGUUUGUUCUCUAUAUUUAAGUCUUUUAUGUUUUGUCCUCUUCCCUGAUUUUAUAUUAUUUUUGCUUCCCUUCCCUUACGUUUAUCUGUUUUAUAUCUUAAAUUCAUCAUAUGAAUGAAGUCAUAUGAUAUUUGUCUUUGUCUGACUAAUUCCGCUUAGCAUAAUACCCUCCAGUUCUACCCACAUAGUUGCAAAUGGCAAGAUUUCAUUCAUUUUUGUUGUCUAGUAGUACUUACUUGUGUGUGUGUGUGUGUAUGGAAAACAUAUACACACACACACACACACACACACACACACACACACACACACACCACAUCUUCUUUUUCCGUUCAUCCAUCGAUGGACAUUUAGGCUCUUUCCAUACUUUUGCUAUUGUCGAUAGUGCUGCUAUAAACAUUGGAGUAAAUGUGCCCCUUUGAAACAGUAUACCUGUAUCCCUUGGAUAAAUACCUAGCAGUGCAAUUACUGGGUCAUAGGGUAGCUCUGUUUUUAGUUUUUUGAGAAAUCACCAUACUGUUUUCCAGAGUGGCUGCACCAGCUUGCAUCGCCACCAACAAUGCAAAAGAGAUCCUCUUUAUCCGCAUCCUCGCCAACAUCUGUUGUUAAUGGUAAGCCAUUAUGACAGGUGUGAGGUGGUAUCUCACUGUGGUUUUGAUUUGUAUUUCCUUGAUGAUGAGCAAUGUUGAGCAUUUUUUCAUGUGUCGGUUGGCCAUCUGGAUGUCUUCCUUGGAGAAGUGUAUUCCUGUCUUUUGCCCAUUUCUUCACUGGAUUAUUUGUUUUUUGGGUGUGGAGUUUGAUAAGUUCUUUAUACAGUGUGAAUACUAACCCUUUAUCUGAUAGGUCAUUUGCAAGUAUCUUCUCCCAUUCUGUCAGUUGCCUUUUAGUUUUGCUGAUUGUUUCCUUCGCUGUGCAGAAGCUUUUUAUUUUGAUGAGGUUCCAGUAGUUCAUUUUUGUUUGUUUCCCUUGCCUCUGUAGAUGUAUUGAGGAAGAAGUUGCUGUGACCGAGGUUGAAGAGGUUUUUGCUUGCUUUCUCCUCUAGGGGAGGAGGCUUUGAUGGCUUCCUGUUUUACGUUUAGGUCUUUCAUCCCUUUUGAGUUUAUUUUUGUGUGAGGUGUAAGAGAGUGGUCCAGGUUCAUUUUUCUGCAUGUCGGUGUCCAGUUUUCCCAGAAACAUUUUCUGCAUAUUUUUGCCUGCUUUGACAUGUCAAAGUUUAGUUGGCCAUACGUUUGUGGGUCCAUUUUUGGGUUCUCUGUUCUGUUCCAUUGAUCUGAGUGUCUGUUUUUAUGCCAGUACCAUACUGUCUUGAUGAUAAGAGCUUUGGAAUACAACUUGAAGUCUGGGAUUGUGAUGCCUCCAGCUUUGGUUUUCUUUUUCAAGAUUGCUUUGGCUAUUUGGGGUCUUUUCGGGUUCCAUACAAAUUUUAGGAUUAUUUGUUCUAGCUCUGUGAGGAAUGCUGGUCAUAUUUCGAUAGGGAUUGCUGAUGUUUUAUUUUUUAAAGUAAUUUCUAUGCCCAUGGGUCUAAAACUCAACUAUCAAGAGUCACAUGCUCUGCCAACUUAGCCAGAGGCCCCUGGGUCUUAUUUUUACAUCUACUCUGAUACCCUUUGUCUCUUGAUUGGAGCUUUUAGUCCAUUUACGUUUAAAGUAAAUAGUGAUACAUAGAACUAACUUCUUUGUCAUUUUAUUACUUGUUUUGUGGGGUGUUAUUUAGGUUUUUAUUUAAAUUCCAGUUAAUGUACAAUCUAAUAUGAGAUUCAGGUGUGCAGUUUAGUGACUGUGCAUCUCCAUGCAAUACCUGGUGCUCAUCACAAGUGCCCUCCUUAAUUCCUAUCACCCACUGAACCCAACCCUCCAUCCACCUCCCUUCUUAUAACCAUCAGUUUUUGUCUAUACUUAAGAGUCUGUUUGUUUGACUCUCUCUCUCUUUUUUCCAUAUGCUUAUUUGUUUUAUUUUUUAUAUUCCACACAUGAGUGAAAUCAUAUAGUAUUUGUCUUUUACUUAUUUUGCUUAGCAUAAUACAUUCUAGCCCUAUCCAUGUGGUUGCAAAUGCAAGAUUUCAUUCUUUUUUAUGGCUAAUAUUCCAUUGUGUAUACACACCACAUGUCUUUUAUCCAUUUAUUAUUUGAUGGGCACUUGGGCUUUUUCCAUAGUUUAGCUAUUGUUCAUAAUGCUGCUAUAAACAUUGUGGCAUAUGUAUCCCUUAAAUUGUAUUUUUGUAUUCUUGGGAAAAUACCCAGUAGUGCAAUUGCUGAAUUGUAGCAAAGUUCUAUUUUUAAUUUUUUGAGGAUGUCUAUUCAUAUUUUCUGUCCAUUUUUUAAUUGGACUUUUCACUUUUUGGGUGUUGAAUUUCAUGAGUUCUGUAUAGAUUUUGGAUAUUAACCAUUUUGUCAGAUAUGUUAUUUGCAAAUAUCUUCUCCCAUUCUGUAGGAUGCCUUUUAGUUUUGCUGUUUCCUUCACUGUGCAGAAGCUUUUUGUUUUGGUUUAGUGUCAAUAAUUUAUUUUUGCAUUUGUUUCCUUUUCCUCAGGAGACAUAUCUAAUAAGUUACUAUGACUUAUGCUUGUUCUCAAGAUUUUAAUAGUUGCUGUAGGUUUAUUCUCAUCUUUUUCUUUGGUUUUUUGGUUUUAAGAUGUUCCUGGGUUUGUUACAUUUAUGUUUUUCAUAUCUAUUACUUUUAUGUUUUAAGUGUGUGGUUACCAUUGGUUUAUAUAUGCCAUCUUCUGCCUAUAGCAGUCUACAUUAAGCCUCAUGGUCGCUUAAUGUUAAACUCAUUAUUUACUCCUCUCCCCUCCAGGUUUCAUAUAUUUGAUAUCCUAUUUUACAUCCUUUUGUUUUAUGAAUCCCAUGACUAAUUUUUACAGAAAUAAUUAUUUUUACUGCUUUUUGUAUGCUCACAUGUGGUCUUCCGUCUUCACUCAAUGGAAGAUCUUAUUUUGUUAUUUUCUAUUUUUCUGUGGUCUGUUUGGAAGACAAUAAGCUUUAUCAAGAGACACCCAGAAGGGAGUGUUUAAUUUCUUUCAUUUAAUUAUGAAUGAUAGCACUUUUUUUAUGUUUGUUUCAGAGUAGAAGUCACAGAAUAUUCUACAUUGAAUGUUCAGUGCUAUCCCCUGCCAUCUUUAAGUCUAUUUACAUUUUGUCUUACAUGUUCAACCCCACUUCUUUGCCUUCAUGAGUAGAAAAUAGAGGAAAGAUUUCUGAUUAGGGAAAAGUACAGGAGCACUUUGUUUUUCUAUCAUUUUCCAUGAAGAAAUGACUAUUUCUAACGUGGAUAAGUUAGAAACAGGAACAGUGGACAGAAAAGAAUAUGGAGGUAUAUUUAUACUCUCAAUUUGUUUCCUUUCAAAUAUGAUUUUUUAUUCUAGUUAACGUACAGUGUUAUGUUAAUUAAGAUGUACAAUAUAAUGAUUGCAGAAUUCUAUACAUUACGUACUGCUCAUUACACUGAGUGUAUUCUUAGUCACCUACAUUAAUUUCACCAAUCCCCCUACCCACCUCCCCUCUGUUAACCAUCUGUUCUCUAUAUUUAAGGGUCCAUUUUGUUUUCCUGUUUGUCUCUUCUUUGUUUUGUUUCUUAAUUACACAUAUGAAUGAAAUAAUAUGGCAUUUGGUUAGCUUUUUAAAGUACCAAUACCAUUUCUUUGUUUAUUGUUUCCUUCUCUCUUAUCCACCUUCUUGCUCCAGUUAUAUCACUUUUUUUGUAAACAUCAAAGGCAUAUUUUUUAAUACUAAGGUGAUUGCAAGCCAGAAGUAUUAUUUAUGAAAUUCACUAUGGUCCAGUACUUCAAAUAAAAGGCUCUUUUCCAGACUAAGAAUGGCAUUCUAUUUAUGAGAAUGUGUAUAAAGACAGGCUAUCUGGUUCCUCUAAGGUGAUUCAGAUAUUUUUAUAUGCAGUAAAUAUGUCAAAGAAGAAAGAAUCUUGUUCUCAAUACAUCUGUUCCUCAUAUCUAUCACUGCAAAAGGCAGGAUGUACCUAAUAUUCUUCAGAGUUGAAUUUUUAAAAUUGGCAAUGAUAAUUGAGUUUAUCUUAAGUUUUAAUAUCAUAAAUUAAGAAGUAACUUAUGAGGGAAUUUGAAAUACAAUUUUGAUUUUUUAAAAACUCAUUUUUUGAAUUAGACAUUUUGGUUAUAAAUUUGAGGGAUAAAUAUGAGGAAAACUGUAUAUAGAAUAGGAAUGAAAGAUGAAAUGGCUAGCAAUGCAAUUAGAAAACUGUUAUUGGCAGGCACUUGAAUGCACAGUAAUACAAAAGUAUAGAAAAUCCAGAUGUUGACAGUAGCAUUAGAAGAUAUUGCAGUGGGGUUACCUGAAAUCAUUGGAAAUUGUUAGCCAAAUGCAGAAACAUAAAAUGUGACCUAUUUCUACUGAUAUAGAACAGGAGGAACUUUAAGUGAUUCAGGGGUUUUAAUUAAAACUAAAGAAAUAUCAGAAUUACAGAACAUGGUAAACUUAAUUUCUGUUUAUCCUAGGAGGGAGGAAAAUUUUAUUUCAGAUUAUUCAAAUUCUGGAAUUGUUCAGAAAGAAAGUGAUAAAUUUGAUGUUAAAUAGCAAUGGGAAAAGUAAAUACCAAUUGAUAAUUAAAGAGAUAUAUUUAAUAAGAAUGCUGAAAUCCCUAAUUAAUAUAAGAUAUUCUAAUAGAGGGAAGAAAACUACCAAUAAAAUAUAAGUAUGUUAUUUUAACAGAUAGUUUAUAGAAGAAAUGUAAAUUGUUAUUAAUCAUGUAGAAGUACUCUUGGAUAUUCUUAUAAUUACAAUGGAAAAUACAACCAGGAUAUAAUGAUCUUCUCAACUGUCAGAUUUAUAGUAAGUCAAGAUGUUUGACAGCAGUCUCUUUCAGCAAUCUGAAAGAAGGGGAAUCUGGCAAAAUCAUAUGAUGUUGGGAUUAUAAAAUGUAAAACUUUUAUGGAUAGGAAUUAAGUAUUUAGUCAUCUUAUAGUUACAUACAACCUUAUAAUGUAUUGAUGAAUAUAUGUAAGUUACUAUAUAAUUUUGGGGAUGUAAGUAUAAAAUAAUAUUGGGCUAUAGGAAGUGAUGAGAGCAAAAUGGUAUUUCUGGUGAUUUUAUCACAACUGUUAAUGGCCUUUGUUUCUGGUACAUAGGUGCUAUCUGAAAACAGUACAGGGCUUUAAACAUAAUUUUGAUAAAUAGGACAUUGGAUGUGAGAAUUAGUUAUGUAAUGGUGUUUUAUGGAAUAGAGUUAGAAAUAAAAGUAUUGGUUAAAUUUCAAUUUAGGUAGGAAUUCAAGGUUUUGGUGAUUUUUGUCAGUAUCCUGAGAAAAGAAUAGGUAUUCCUUUAAAAAUCAUAUAAGGGUAAAGGUGGUAGUGUGUGUGUGUGUGUGUGUGUGUGUGUGUGUGUGUGUGUGUGUGUGUGUAUGUAUGUGUGUAAUGAACAUUUCCCAAAUCCUGAGCUUUCUCCUUUCAUUAUCUUUCAGAAUGAUUUGAGGUAGCUCUUAAAGGAUUUGGUCAAUAUUGCAAAGCCCUAGUAGAGAUACCUGAGAUUCUAUGUGAAAAUUUUAUUAAUUGAUUGAUUUAGUUUUUAAUUUAAAUUCCAGUUAACAUACAAUGCAGUAUUAGUUUCAUUUGUACAAGUUAGUGAUUGGACACAUAUAACAUCUGGUGCUCAUCACAACUAUGCAAAGACUUUAAAAUAGGUCAUUUGAGGUUAAUCCUGUGGUGAAGCUAUUUUGAUGUCCAUUAGUGAAAAAUAAGUUGAUUUAAUCAAAUACUUGAGGGCCUAUUUAGUACUCUCCACUGUAGUGAGUUAUGCCUACCUAGCUGGUUGAUCACUGAGUGGAAUUGGCAAAACUAAGAUUCCUUCAUGGGAUGAUUGCAUAAAUGUGAGAACUGGUUAAUCAAGUAACGGAUGCAUGAAGGAUAUACUGAUGUCAUUAGGUCAGGAAGAUGGAUGGAAUAAAGAAUAGAUGAUACUGGGGCAGCUGGGUGGCUCAGUUGGUUAAGCAUCCGACUCUUGAUUUUUGUCUCAGGUCUUGAUCUCAUGAACUCUGAGAUCUAGCCCUGUGUCAGGCUACAUUCUGAGCAUACAGGUUGCUUGGGAUUCUCUCACUCCCUUUCUCUCUCUGCUCCACCCCUGCUUGGUGCUUGCGGCUCUCUCUCUCUCUCUCUCUCGCUCUCUCUCUCUCUCUAUUUAAAUGGACAACUUCAUGCAUGGAUUGAUGGAUGAAUUCAGAAAUGCCUUCUGGAUACAAUUAAGAAACAAGGAUAUAGGGGCACCUGUGUGGCUCAGUCAAUUAAGCGACCGACUCUUGGUUCCUGCUCAGCUCAUGAUCUCAUGGUGCAUGAGUUUGAGCCCCUCAUCAAUCUGUCUCCCUUUCUCUCUGCCCACCCCCAUCAAAGUAAAUAAGCUUAAAAAAUUAAAAAGAAACAAGGAUAUGUAUAAUAUUCAGGGAUGGAAUACAUGUAUAAAUGUGUUAGUGUAUAUAUAGGGUUAUUUUUGAUUUUCAAGUUUUUAUUUAAAUCCUAGUUAAUUAAUAUAUAGGGUAAUAUUGGUCUCAGGAAUAGAAUUUAGUGAUUCAUCACUUAAAUAUUUAAAUAUAACGUCCAGUGUUUAUCAUCCAUUUAGCCCGUCCCCUGCCCACCACCCUCCAUAAACCCUCCGUUUGUUCUCAUGAGUUAAGAGUCUUAUGGUUUGCGUCCCUAUCUUUUAUUUUUCCCUUCCAAUAUGUUAAUCUGUUUUGCUUCUUAAAUUACACAUGAGUGAAAUCAUAUGGUAUUUUUCUCUGACUUAUAUACACGCUGGCUCCAUCCAUAUCAUUGUAAAUAGCAAGAUUUAAUUAUUUUUGAUGGCUGAGUAAUUAUAUAUAUAUAUAUAUAUAUAUAUAUAUUACAUUACAUCUUCUUUAUCGUGUAUAUAUAGGUUAAUGCAAGAGUGGAAGGGAGUGUGGAUAAGAUACUGUGGAUAUAAAGUGAUAAUGCAAAAUGAACUGAUUAAUAGAUGGACACAAGAAUGAAUGAUUUGAUGAUGGAUAUGGGCCUAAAAGAAUAUAUAGGUAGGUGGAUUCAGGGAAGGUUAAUUCCUAGAUCUGAGUUACUUUAAAUCACAAAGAUAAAUUUCUCACAGUGACAGGAUUUUUUUGGGGGUCAUAGGUUCAUGGCAAUUAUUGGUAGGCCAAAUGUCACAAACAGUGAUAAUCUCCUGUCGCUUCCAUCACAGCAUAAAAUUUUAUGUUUUUUUGUCACUUUGAGAGAUAACAUGGAAAAUUGCAAGUAACUCAUGAAAUAAUUUCUUUACAAGUUUUUUCUUAGAUAAAAGAAAUCAAUCAUAUACACGUUUUAGAAGGUAAACUUAGAAGGUUUACAAACUGUAUUUCCUCCAUGAUUUCAAAGAGAGUAGAAAGAACAUAUUAAACAAUACUAACAUCUACCAAAUGACACCUCUCUGGCUUCACAUAUUGGUUUUACUUUCUACAUGCACAUUAAACUUUACACCCUUCUCAGUGGGAACAAAAAUAAGGAAUCACCUGGCUAACAGUCCAAUAUCUCUCAGUUGUGCACUGGAAUCAGGUUAUUUGCACUGAUCUGUGUGUCAGUUUGCCUAUUCCUGGUCCAGAGAUACAGGAAUUUUAAAAAAAGAAGUUAUUUGUACCUAACUUCCCAGUGUUCAAGUAUGGAGCAAGGAUAAGGCAACCAUAAUAAAAGCUGCAAAAUAUAAAGGAUAGAAUGCAAGAUACAUAUUCAUUGGAAGAUAUUAUCUAUUAUGAUAUUGUGAGGAGGGAGAACAUUUUAUUAGUACUUGGAAGAUGCUCACUUGUCCUUUGUUCUUCUUGACACCAUAUCAGCCUUCUGACAUAUUGUCCAUACCUAUUCCCUGCAUAAUUAUUUUUAAGAUAGGUGGUGUGAGAUAUAUUCUCUAAGGGAGGUGCAGAGCUUUUCUCUUCAGAGAGAGUUGGGGCCUAAAGGUCAUUUUAAGUUGUAAACAGAUUUUUUAGUUCCUUAGGUACUAAAACUCCGUCAAAUUAAGUCUUGGGAGAAGACUUCAGUAGCUUUUAUGAGAUUCUCCUUAAUCUCUUACUUGUGAUGAUCAUAGAAUAAUGUUUUAAAUUAGAGAUGCCACAAGAGAGAAUGACCUGUAACAAUGAGGUGUCAUAUGGGGCAAAGCUACUUUUAUGGAUCAGACCCACAAAAGUCUUUUCAUGAGUAAGAAGUUAAUGUUUGUUUUGUUAAGCCAGUAAGAUUUUGAAGUUGCUGUAACUCAAAAGUGACUAAUAUAAAUGGAUAAGUUACGUGCAAUAAUUCAAGGAUUGGUGAAUGAAUACAUAGAAUGGAGGGAUGGAUUGACGGUUUAAAACUUGUUUAUAGGGGUGGAUAGAUAGAAUAAAGAAUGUGAGAAUGAGGAAUGAAAUUUUUGCAAAGUGUCCACUUAGGUAGAUUUAAAAAUUAGUGGAUGCAAGAUGGCAUAUUUUUGUUUGUUUGUUUUAGAAAUAGAGCAUGUGUGGGGGAGAAGGGCAGAGACAGAGAAAAUGUUAUGCAGGCUCCACACUCUGCACUGAGCCUUAAUGCAGAGCUCCAUCCUACCACCCUGGAGUCAUGGCCUGAACCAAAAUCUAGAGACUGAGCCACGCAGGUGCUCCAAGAAGGGUAUUUUAAUAGAAGGCUGGAAAAGUGUGUGUAAGGAACUAUUUCUUUAUGUAAUUGAGGGCAGAGCAAUAUAUGAAUUAGUUCAACAUUGGGUGACUGAAAGAAUGGAUGGAAACUAGAAUAUUAAGUGGAUGGCUAGAUGCAAGAAUCAAGAAUUAAUGUUUUCAAAAAAUUUUCAAAAAAAUACUGGAGAUAUAUGUGGAUUGGUGGACUUGAUAUUCAGUGAAGGUGUAGAUAGUUAGAUACUUAGAGGUUAGAAUUUGGAUUUCAGACUGGAAUGUUGGGUGCAUGUGUCGUGUACGGAUAUAUGUUUAGAUUAAUAGGUAUAGAUAUGGAUGACUAGAGUAAUGGAUCAAUAUAGGAAUCAAUGCACAGAUAAAUGGAUUGCAUGAGUGUGCUAGCAUUGUUGAUGUUUUCAGAGUGACUUGAUAGAUGCAUUGAUGGAUAGAUGGUUUGUUUCAAGAAGCAGUGGUACAGAAAUUUUAUCAUUGGAAAAAUAGACUAAUAUAAUAAAAUCACCAUGUAAAAUUGAAUGGAAAAAAUGGAGGUACUAUUGAGGGAAUAGGUUAAUUAUUUAAAAAUAAGAAAAAAAUUAGUGGUUGCUUUCUCAUACUGUUGCAAUAAUAAAUUUUAUUUAUUUUUAAUUUUUUUAAUAUUUAUUUAUUUUCGAGAGAGAGAGACAGAGCACAAGCAGGGGAGGGGCAGAGAGAGAGGGAGACACAGAAUCCAAAGCAGGUUCCAGGCUCCAAGUGUCAGCACAAAGCCCCACGCAGGGCUCAAACUCAGGAACUGUGAGAUCGUGACCUGAGCUGAAGUCAGAGGCUUAACCAACUGAGCCUCACAGGUAUCCCUAAAUUUUUAAAAAGAGCAAAACAAAAAGAAAUGUAAAAACAAUUGUAGUGAGUUUAUGAGAGUAGUUUCUAUUAUACUGACUUUUGUAUAUUAUUUAAUAACUUGAGGUCUUUUGUGAGGUUGAUCAAAGAGUCAGCUUUACCUUAUGUAUUUUAUGGUGGUCAUUGUAUAUAUGACAAUUUCCCCAUAUUUUCCACAGUUUUAACUGAGGUGUUACCAGCUUAAGAAGUGAGAUAUUUUAGAUGCUUCACUACCUGACAUUUCCAUAUCAAUCCAAAUUCUUAUACUUGUUUAUCAUUUCUGUGGACUUCAUUCUUCAACAGUGCUGGUAAGAAUCAGUAACACUGGUAUACUAUUUGUUUAUAUUUGACCAGUUUGAUGUGGAAUCAGUUUUUCACAUUUUAAGAUCCCAAACCAUUUAUGAAUUCGAUAAAGCAUAGGAUUGUCAAAUUGUGGAAUGAUUGCCAAUUAGAUGGAAUAUAAGAGAUUUUUAAAAAGGUAUUAAAUAAAUAUUGAGGCAAUGUUGAUAUAUAGAUUAUGUAGAUUUUUACUUACUCUUACUACUCUUACCUACUCUUGCCAUAAAAUGUGAUGUUAUCCAGAGACUACAAUCUCUGUCAGUAUACUCAGUAAAUUUUAAAUUCAUUUAAAUAUUAAAUGUUUUGAAAUAAAUACAUUAGUAAUGGAUGGAUAAAGGGAGUCAAGGAAGUCAGGCAGGUAGGGGUAAAAAGUAAAAGGAUAGAAGGGCAUCAGAAAGAAAAUAUAUUAGGAAGUAUAAUUUGCUGCAAAUAAUAUGGGUCUUAAUGAUAGCAGGAAGUUGACUUUUAUUUCCAGAUGCAUGAUUUAGGGUAUUCCUAAUAUCAGAUAAGACGGAUAGACAAGAGUUGAGGAUUACUCUAAAGAAGUACCUUCUUAACACCCUUUCAUUUGAUGAGUGAAUGAAGAUUUUUUUUUUUUCAGAUAUUUUCAAGCAUUUUUUUCUUUCUUUCACAAGCAUGUUUCAUAAGCAAGGACCAAAGAGACUUUGACCACAGGUAAGAGCAUUAACACCAAUACCCUGAUUUUAACUGAUCUUUUUGGGUGUAUUGAUGGAAUACAUUCUUAUUUGAGUUAUUGGACAGUACCUUUUUUUUUCAUCAAACUUUUUAUGUUGGCAUAACUGAUUAUUUUGAUGUAAUAGUUAAACCUAGGGUUUUGUCAUUAUAUCUUGUUAGUAAGCAACACUUAAUGAAACUGAAAUAGAAGUGUUCUUCUCUUACGGCCAUCUUCCAUUAGGAUCAUCAGACACUGCACAAUAAGCUUUUGGGAAAGCAGGGAUAAUGCAUAUGUGGGUACUCUGAUAAUUGGUUUUGUUUUUUGGAAAGGUUUCUAUGAAACACUAUGAAAUUUACAGAGCACACUUGUCGUAUUUCUUUGUACCUUUAUCUUUUAUUUUUUAACCCUGAAUGGAUAAUAUAUAUUAGCACUAAGUAGUUACACAAGAAAUGUUCAAAGAAUGAAAUAAGGUUAAAUGACAUGAAAAUAAUUUGGAAUAUAAGAUUGGUACUCAAAAUCUAGUAGAAUGAUUGAAGAAGUAAAAUUAUAGUUUCAUCAUUUUCCUACAGUAAAUAUACCUGGUUUUUGUAGUUUGGAGAUAUUUAGCAUUAGGAUCAUAGGAAUUGUUUUUCAUGAAAUAUCACUAAAAUGCUAGAAGAUGAUAUCCAUUUGUCCUGAUGAAUGGCUUUGUGACAACCUGUUGUUUAUUUUCAUUUGCAAUCUCUCCCUCUGUACUAUCCUAGGUGGUGAACAAGUAUACAAGAGGAUCAUAGAUACCUUCCUGCAGUGGUUCCAUCCACAGCAUCGCCAAAUUGAUGUUGUUAUUUCCCUCUUUUUGAAGCUCAUUGCAUCAUUGUAUCUCAAAG